rnacentral:rRNA from 1 species
GUGGGGAAUAUUGGACAAUGGGCGAAAGCCUGAUCCAGCAAUGCCGCGUGUGUGAAGAAGGCCUGCGGGUUGUAAAGCACUUUCAGUAGGGAGGAAAUGCUGAAGGUUAAUAACCUUUAGUCUUGACGUUACCUACAGAAGAAGCACCGGCUAACUCCGUGCCAGCAGCCGCGGUAAUACGGAGGGUGCAAGCGUUGUUCGGAAUUACUGGGCGUAAAGCGCGUGUAGGCGGCCUGGUAAGUCAGAUGUGAAAGCCCUCGGCUUAACCGGGGAAGUGCAUCUGAAACUGCCUGGCUUGAGUACGGGAGAGGGAGGCGGAAUUCCCAGUGUAGAGGUGAAAUUCGUAGAUAUUGGGAGGAACACCGGUGGCGAAAGCGGCCUCCUGGACCGAUACUGACGCUGAGACGCGAAAGCGUGGGGAGCAAACAGGAUUAGAAACCCUAGUAGUCC